CAUUGGCUCAANCAAUGUAUGCUUUGGAAACUGUUAGACUUGAGUGCAGAAGGGGAGAGUGGAAUUCCAUGUGUAGCGGUGAAAUGCGUAGAUAUAUGGAGGAACACCGGUGGCGAAAGCGGCUCUCUGGUCUGUCACUGACGCUGAGGCUNGAAAGCGUGGGUAGCGAACAGGAUUAGAUACCCUGGUAGUNCACGCCGUAAACGCUGAGUGCUAGGUGUUAGGUCCUUUCCGGGACUUAGUGCCGACGCUAACGCAUUAAGCACUCCGCCUGGGGAGUACGACCGCAAGGUUGAAACUCAAAGGAAUUGACGGGGGCCCGCACAAGCGGUGGAGCAUGUGGUUUAAUUCGAAGCAACGCGAAGAACCUUACCAGGUCUUGACAUCCCGAUGCCCGCUCUAGAGAUAGAGUUUUUCUUCGGAACAUCGGAGACAGGUGGUGCAUGGUUGUCGUCAGCUCGUGUCGUGAGAUGUUGGGUUAAGUCCCGCAACGAGCGCAACCCUUAUUGUUAGUUGCCAUCAUUAAGUUGGGCACUCUAGCGAGACUGCCGGUAAUAAACCGGAGGAAGGUGGGGAUGACGUCAAAUCAUCAUGCCCCUUAUGACCUGGGCUACACACGUGCUACAAUGGUUGGUACAACGAGUCGCAAGCCGGUGACGGCAAGCUAAUUUCUGAAAGCCAAUCUCAGUUCGGAUUGUAGGCUGCAACUCGCCUACAUGAAGUCGGAAUCGCUAGUAAUCGCGGAUCAGCACGCCGCGGUGAAUACGUUCCCGGGCCUUGUACACACCGCCCGUCACACCACGAGAGUUUGUAACACCCAAAGUCGGUGAGGUAACCAUUUAUGGGGCCAGCCGCCUAAGGUGGGA
rnacentral:rRNA from 1 species